UGAUCCAGCUGACGAGUGGCGCACGGGUGAGUAACGCGUACGCAACCUGCCUUCAAGAGCGGGAUAGCCCCGGGAAACUGGGAUUAAUACCGCAUAGCAUUAACGAUUCACCUGGAUUGUUAAUUAAAGCUAAGGCGCUUGAAGAUGGGCGUGCGUGCUAUUAGCUAGUUGGUGAGGUAACGGCUCACCAAGGCGACGAUAGCUAGGGGGCGUGAGAGCGUGACCCCCCACACGGGUACUGAGACACGGACCCGACUCCUACGGGAGGCAGCAGUAAGGAAUAUUGGGCAAUGGAGGCAACUCUGACCCAGCUAUCCCGCGUGCAGGAUGACGGCCCUACGGGUUGUAAACUGCUUUUACAUGGGAAGAAACGGACCUAUUGAUAGGUUUUUGACGGUACCAUGAGAAUAAGCACCGGCUAACUCCGUGCCAGCAGCCGCGGUAAUACGGAGGGUGCAAGCGUUAUCCGGAAUCACUGGGUUUAAAGGGUGCGUAGGCGGCGCAGUAAGUCAGGGGUGAAAGCUCGGAGCUCAACUUCGGAAUUGCCUUUGAUACUGCUGUGCUUGAAUGAGGUUGAGGUUGGCGGAAUGUGACAUGUAGCGGUGAAAUGCAUAGAUAUGUCAUAGAACACCAAUUGCGAAGGCAGCUGACUGGACCUACAUUGACGCUGAGGCACGAAAGCGUGGGGAGCGAAC
rnacentral:rRNA from 1 species